UCUGACAUUCUGUGCCUGGAGCUGAUGGGAAACCUACUAACCCCAGUUUUGCAUGCAUAACCUGAGUACCCAGGAGGUUUUGGAUUCCUUUUGGCCUUUUUGUGACUUCAGCAUAAGGAAUUGGGGAAGAGGAUGCCUUCUGAUCACCACUCCCAGAGCAGAGAGAGUACUGAUUGAAGAUGAGAGCAGGGCUGCAUAGCUCAGCAUGAGAGAAAGGAGGAAACCCCACAACACAGCUGCCUUCUCAGUAGACAAAAACAGAAUUGCACUCUGUAAAGGAUUGUUGGUCAAGUGAAGUGAAGCUUCAGAUUAAUGUACCUGUGGAGUAGAUUCUGCUUUUUUAUUCCAUGAAGCACUAUGUCUUUGAUCAUUUGAGAUAACUGAGCAAAACAUGAUGUGUACACUCAAACCAUAAUUCCAUGUUUUGGAUU